CAAUAGCGUAUAUUAAAGUUGUUGCAGUUAAAAAGCUCGUAGUUGGAUUUCUGGUUGAAGCGACCGGUCGGGCGUUGAUUCGUCUGCACUGGAGUCGGUUUUGGCCAUCCUCUAGGAAAGUGCGUCUGGUAUUAAGUUAUCGGGCGUAUGAUCCUGGUCUUUUACUGUGAAAAAAUUAGAGUGUUUAAAGCAGGCCUUCGCCUUGAAUACAUUAGCAUGGAAUAAUAAGAUAGGACUUUGGUCUAUUUUGUUGGUUUGCAGACCGAAGUAAUGAUUAAUAGGGAUAGUUGGGGGUAUUUAUAUUCCGAUGUCAGAGGUGAAAUUCCUAGAUUUUCGGAAGAUAAACUUAUGCGAAAGCAUUUACCAAGGAUGUUUNCAUUAA
rnacentral:rRNA from 1 species